AUAAAUGCAGUGAUGGAGAAGAGUACGCAGUGCCUGGCUUACAGGGAGGAAACGCCGCAGAUUGAGAGCGUUUCUAGGAGAGCAGAGCUGCCGAAGUUCACUCCGGAGCAGUUCCCUGAAUUCACUUCAAGAUCUUUUUGAAGGAAGACAGUAGGGGAAACCGGCCGCAGACCGUUAUUUCUGUUAAAGUGAGGCAUGUCUUUACCGCACCGAAAGAGGGAAUACAGCUCUUAAGGGAAGUGGUACGGCAGCCUAACAAGGGUGGUACCACGGUCUUUUCGUCCCUUAC
rnacentral:ncRNA from 1 species